AGCGCCACCGGGUCCACGGCGCGGGUGACGGUGAGGUAGUCGCGCAGGGCGGUGCCGUGGCGGUCCUC
rfam:Nonomuraea sp. ATCC 55076, complete genome.